UACGGGGGGGAGCAAGCGUUGUUCGGAUUUACUGGGCGUAAAGGGCGCGUAGGCGGCCUGUGCAAGUCAGUUGUGAAAUCUCCGAGCUUAACUCGGAACGGUCAACUGAUACUGCUCGGCUAGAGUGCGGAAGGGGCAACUGGAAUUCUCGGUGUAGCGGUGAAUGCGUAGAUAUCGAGAGGAACACCUGCGGCGAAGGCGGGUUGCUGGGCUGACACUGACGCUGAUGCGCGAAAGCCAGGGGAGCGAACGGG
rnacentral:rRNA from 1 species